AUUGUACGCUGGCGGCAGGCCUAACACAUUCAAGUCGAGCGAGCGGCGGACGGGUGAGUAAUGUCUGGGAAACUGCCUGACUGAGGGGGAUAACUACUUGAAACGGUAGCUAAUACCGCAUACCAUCCUAUGUGCCCAGAUGGGUUUAGCUAGUAGGUUGGGUAAUGGCUCACCUAGGCAACGAUCCCUAGCUGGUCUGAGAGGAUGACCAGCCACAGUGGAACUGAGGCAGGGUCAGAGGUGCAAAGGGGGGAAGCAGUGUGGUAAGUGGUAAGAUGGGCGCAAGCCUGGUGCAGGGAGGCCGCGUGUAAGAAGAAGGCCGUCGGGUUGUAAAGUGCUUAGGGCGAGGAGACGUUACGCGCAGGAGAAGCUCCGACUAACUCCGUGCCAGCCGCCGCGGUAAUAC
rnacentral:rRNA from 1 species